GGCUAGUACAGUACCCAGAUCAUAGAGGGAACUCAGAAUCUGAUGCUGGCACUUGUAAUCAGAAAGUCUGGGCUGAGAUCCCAGUAUCUUCACUGACUGGCUUUGUGAUCUCAGGCUGGUCACUUAGCAUUUCGAACGCCGGGCUACCUACCCCGCCCACCCCAUGAGCGAACAGUGUUGCUGCCCCAAAGCGCCGAAUAGAUCGCAGAACGUAGUGGGAAAGUAAGGGACCAUUAUGAUCUGUACCCCACCCCGACGCACGCCAAGCGGCCUUUUCCCCAUUUGUGGCCAAAUUUCCCGGCAUGGGGAAGGAGUCUUAGGGGAAGCACCCGGGACCUCCUUGGCUUCUUCUGGGAGUCUAGUUUCACCUAUUUCGUUUCGCCAACAGGCGAGACGGGCAAGACUUCGGGCUCAGCUGCCACCAUCAGAACUGACCUGUCCAUGGCUAAAGCCUUUUCCACACACAACCAACGUUGGCUGCUGUUUAGCUACCGCGUUUUAGCCUUCCCGCUCUCCGGAAGCAAGCCCUUCGACCCGGAAGCAGUCUGUCCCUAAAACAGACCCACAGAAAAGGGGUUCAGGUUCUCCAUGCGAUAUAUGGUUCCACAAUCCUCAGCGUGUUAACUGAAGCCUUGUUGAGUUUAACAAAGCUGCCAUUGAAGAUCUGGGGAAAGUGAAGAAGUUGCAACAGAGUUUUGGGCUCACACCAUUGAUACAUUUGAUCCUUAAGGCCCACCCCGCCUCACUCCCACCCUCUUCUACUUAAUUCAGGAUGUGAAUAGCACAUGCCUUCCAUCUUCAGACAAACACUGAGGCCUGGACAAUGACCUGCAUUAGGUAGAUAGAAUCUACUGAAAGCUAAAAGCCUUUUCCUGUGUCUUAGCAGCACGGAAGCCACGCCUCCUUCCCCCCAGUGUUUGUGCAAGCCCUAGAGAAGAGGAGACAGCCCCUGUGAUGUGUGAGGUUGAAUUUCCUGCCCUCAACCCAUCAAAUCAGGCAGAAUGAGGGCUCAGUCAGAACUACAACUACAAAAGAGAAAAAUUUUAAUGUGACUUUUCUUGUCUGCUCAGAUUUUUGGGUUAAGGUUCAUGCCAGCUACAUUCUUUGCAUAAUAAAAUAUAAAUAGAGUAUAAAUUGUUCUAUUUAGAGAAAACAGCAAAACAAUGCUCUCCCAAGGGCCCUAAUAAAUCACUCUCCAGAAACGUGGAUGUGUGUUGGAUUUACAGGAUUUCUAUGCCAAGCAGAGAAGUACAUGAAAACAGGAAAGCAAAAUGCAUAAGUUGCAAUAAUAGUUUUGUGGUUUAGCUGAAUAAUGUCCUAUAUCAACAGAGGAUAAUGAUUUUAGUUUUUCAGUUGCCCCAAGAUCAUUUCCAUUACUGAUGAGGCUUGAAAUGUCUGUGAAGAAGAGUCAUUGCAAUUGAUUUAUUUGUCUGGCAAACUUUUUGUCAGCAAAUUCACCACUACCUCAAAAAUCUCACUAGCUACUCUAUGCUUAAGACAUUAGAAGCAUAAGCCACAAUGAAAACUAACUCUUAGCAUUAGAAUUCUAAGAAGCAGUAAUGUAUUUAUGAUUUUAUGUUAAAAAUCUC
rnacentral:lncRNA from 1 species